CUGCUGAUGAGUGAGCCAGAUUCCUAGUAAUGCAGUUCAAUGCACUCACAGCAAAUUUCUUUCAUGUAUGGCCGUACUUCUGAUUUCAUGUUUGGGAUGUGACAUUUCUCAUACAAAGUUUGAUUUAUGUGAAAAAUGAAAGAGACAUGAAAGGCAUGUUCAUUCACAUGAAUAGAGUGACCUCUUUACAGAUAUAAAAAAAAUAACACAAGGAAAUCAAGAGUGAUACGUGCAGUUUUGAGGAUCAGCCCUGAAACAGACAGAGGUGAGGCAAAAGGCAUCAUGGUCUGCACCAGCCACAGCACUGACCCUUGGGCUCCCAGCAGUCUUUAUGCAUGGAGAGACAUUCUGAAGCUUUGAAAAGAUAAAUGAUUUAGUACAUGUUUUGAUGAUUUUCAGAAGUGUGCUUUGAGUUUCAUUGUGUAAUACUUCUUAUUAUUUGGUCAUGGGUUUCUAUAUUGGAUGAAAAAUAUAAACACAAAUUGACCCUACUUGAAUUAGACUUAAAUGCAUUUAAGAUGUUUUCCGGUCCACUGUAAUUUAAGUAUUAUAUCUGACGUAGUUGGGUCUUCCUUUUAUUUGAGAUGUUAAGAUGUAAGCUAUUAGGUUGCUAGCCUAAGAUGUUAUAAAGUCACAACAUUUCAUAGUGCUAUAUAACUGUUGUGCAUCUGUCUAGUCAUACUGGAAUGGUGGAAAAUGAAUCAUGGUUUGGGGUUCUAUGGAUUAAUGUCUGAUUUGGAGCUUCCCACCUUUGCAUAACUGAGUUUAAUUGUAAUGUUCUUUAUACCACACACACACACACACACACACAC